UACCGAGGCAGCAGCCAGAGGAGGGGGAGGGAGGCGGUGGGGGGAGGAGGAGGAGAAGGAGAAGAAGAAGGGGAGGCAGGGACUGGAAGGUUUUCCCCCCGCAAGCAAGAAGGGUAGGAGCUGGAGGAAGAGGAGGAGGAGGAGGAGGAAGAGGAGGAGGAGGUGGACGAAGCCGGGAACUGGAGGACGACGAGAAGGUCCAGGAGGUCGGAGCCAAGCCGGACCCAGAGCGCUGCGGUCUUACCGGAUUCAGGUCCCCGGCUGAGCCCGAGCGCUCUGCGAGCGGAAGGCAGCAAGAGCCGGCGGCUCUCUCCCCAGUUCGGUUGGCAGCACUUUUCCUGGCUUGCUCUUCACUGGGAAGUCUUUGAUAACUCACGGUCUCCUCCAGGAAUUGAUGAGGCCUUGAUAGGAGUGAACAGCAGAAAACAGAGAGAGACAGGGCUGCUGACCCUCCAUUCAACACUCCCCGUGUUCCUAGCUCAGAGGAAAGGGAAGGGGAUUGUCUUGAUGGACGCUCAAUGGAGCCGGGCUCCUUCCAAAGGAUUCUUGGAGACUUUUUGGCCAACCUUU